rnacentral:rRNA from 1 species
AGAUCGCAGUCUGCAACCCGACUGCGUGAAGUCGGAAUCGCUAGUAAUCGCGGAUCAGCAUGCCGCGGUGAAUACGUUCCCGGGCCUUGUACACACCGCCCGUCACACCAUGAGAGUUGGGAACACCCGAAGUCCGUAGCCUAACCGCAAGGGGGGCGCGGCCGAAGGUGGGUUCAAUAAUUGGGGUGAAGUCGUAACAAGGUAGC